UACGUAGGGUGCAAGCGUUGUCCGGAAUUAUUGGGCGUAAAGAGCUCGUAGGCGGUUUGUCGCGUCGAAUGUGAAAACCCGGGGCUCAACCCCGGGCCUGCAUUCGAUACGGGCAGACUAGAGCUCGGUAGGGGAGUCUGGAAUUCCUGGUGUAGCGGUGGAAUGCGCAGAUAUCAGGAGGAACACCGAUGGCGAAGGCAGGUCACUGGGCCGCAACUGACGCUGAGGAGCGAAAGCAUGGGGAGCGAACAGG
rnacentral:rRNA from 1 species